rnacentral:rRNA from 1 species
UACAGAGGGUGCAAGCGUUAAUCGGAAUUACUGGGCGUAAAGCGUGCGUAGACGGUUAUGUAAGUCGGGUGUGAAAGCCCCGGGCUCAACCUGGGAAUGCCAUUCGAGACUGCAUAGCUAGGGUGCGGAAGAGGGAAGCGGAAUUUCAGGUGUAGCGGUGAAAUGCGUAGAUAUCUGAAGGAACACCAGUGGCGAAAGCGGCUUCCUGGUCCAGCACCGACGUCAGGCACGAAAGCGUGGGGAGCAAAAGGG